ACCCCUGACCUCUCCUAACUGUAUCUGUCCUAAGGUUGUCUUGUCACUUGAGUGGACACAGGUAUAUGCAUUGGUGGAAGCAGUUCCACGGUACGUGAUGCUGCCUUCUGACCUACAUGGCUACCAAACAUGCACAGGAUGAACAGACAUACAUACAGCUGGAGGACAGGCAUGCCUGGGAGCAGCUGUUGGGAUUAUGGGGAAGGAAGCACAGUACCACCUACAGAAUAAGAGAAGAGACACCCGAUGGCUUCAGUAGGAGUUAUAAAUGUGAUGUGCCUGAUAGUACUGAAGAAAUCGUGGGUUCUGAUGGUUUCUGCUUAGAAGAAAAAGCAUCCCCAGACUAGCAAAGAAGCAACUGUUUAGGUUGGUCAGAGGAACCUACGAAACCCAGCCUAAAGCUCCGGCUAAAACCUUAAAGGUUUAUGUCCCCAGGGAACAUGCUAUGUGUCUUUCACAACCAGUCCAGUCAUCUGCACAUUGCAAACCUGCAGACGUUCCCUCAGCACCCUGAGGUUUGCGACUUAGACUCCGGACAGCAUCUGCUGUCAUCAAUACACCAGAACCAGGUUAUCAACACAGAAAAAGUAGUGUAUUUCCUGCUUCAUAACUUUUCAAAGUGAACAUUUAAUAAAAAAAAAUCAGACAUUAAUAAUCUUCAUUGUAAAUUGAGAAACAAGGUUACCCUAAAUGUUUAAAUAACAUUUUAUUAAUUUCUCAUAUUUUAAAUUCCUAACUCUCUGUGGUGCCAGAGACCCAGCCUAAGGUCCUGCACAUGCUUGACAACCGCUCUACCAGUGGCUCACAUCCGGACCUAGUCCAGCCUUUUGUACUGGUACCAGGUUGCACUGAGUUGCCCAGGCUGGCCUAGAACUCCCACCACAGAAUGGGCUGAUUUGGAAAUUAUAAUCCUGCUUCCAUCACUGAGACUGCACACAAAUACCACCAGGCCCUGCCAAAUUCUUAUUUGUGCUUUCAAAAUUUUGAGCAUGAAAAUGACAGGUUAUAUCUAGUUACUAUUUUUCAUCUCUUAUUUUCAUUUUGAAGUACCAGGAUUUGGCAUCAUUCUGCACUGAUACAUAUUUCCCUGUCUCUUUUAACCAGAGCUGAGAGAAUAUUCAUGCUCUGUGAUGGACGCAAUAAUGAAAUUUUGUAUUUAUGCUGAGUCAUAGUACAGUAUCUUAAAACCAAGCCAAGAAAAUGUACUAUGGGAGUGCAUGGGAGGAAAGAACAAAGAGAUAGUUCUAUGCACUGAUAGCUUGUCUGAGAAAGCUCUGCUUCUAAGCCCCCCUGUGGGGAGGGGUAGAGAGCUGCUCUUUGAAGCAGCCAUUAGGAGGUGCUCAUAGUUUAGGACAAACUCUCCAAGGCCUCCCAGCUCCUUGUGGUCUAGUUUUUAUGUCCUGUAAGGGUUUAUUUUUAAUUUUAGAAAUUUCAUUUCGCUUGAGUUUUCCACUUAUAAAAAAAUUGAGAAGCUGACAGCUCUGGAAACUGAAGCUAUCCAAUUAGUCCAAAAACACCUAAAUGUUUCUGUGGCAUCUAUCAUCACAGAAUACCAAAAGGCUCUCUGGAAACCAUAUCAGGUUGAGAGAAAAACAUGUAUUUAGGAAAGAAAAGCUUCUUGGUUAUUCUCUGCCAGAGCAAGAUAGAGAGAACUGAUGUUAAUGGGUAUGGAGCAGGGGUCUUUAGAGAGUCCCUAGGGCUGUGCCUAAGCCUGUCACAUAGGAGGGCUAUUUAUGAUUUGAAUAUGCUGCCCACAGGGCACAGUCAUCAUCUUUCACCAGGCAGGCUCACAACUAUGUGUUGUAGAUACAUUGAGACUGGUAAUUAUUUGUUCUAUUCCCAGCAUAUUUUGUUUGCUACAACGAGACUCAAUCUAGGCAGUUUGGCUCGAUGUGGACACAUAAGGAGGAAAGACAAGGCUCUGCUGCCUUUCCUUUGGCUCCUAAAGCAGCUUUUGGGGUAAAUAAAGGAUUUCAGGUUGCUUAUUUAUAUGAGAAAUCGGGGGUUACAGAUUACAUAUGGGUUAUACAAUUAUGAAAUCGUGUAUGCUUAUUAGUUAACUACUGUAAUAAUCCUCUCAAAAACAUUGUGUCUACUGUCAAAUUCAAAGUGACAAAGACUGAUAUAGACUAAAACAAAACAAACAAAACAAAACCACACCCUUUUAUUCCAUAUUCAAAGAAACAUAUGUAUAACAUUUUUAAAUUGUACAACUGAUAAAACAGGAGACUAACUUUUUUUUUUAAUUGUGGUUGCUUAGGGUACAUUCCUAGAAAAUGGGAACGUUCACCUACCUCAUUUUGACGCUUUUGCACCCAACUCGCAGUAAACCUGAUGUCAUGUGCUUGGGCAAAUGAGACAUUAAGCCUGUACUGAGUAGUGUAGAUGGUGACACCUACUGUUAGCCCAGGAUAUCGCAUCCUAGAUCCAUAAGACACUGGUGCCCCCUUUGCAUUUCAAAUCCAUGUCAAUAGGUCAACAUUAAAUCUUACUGACAAAGUUGGUUUGGGGCAUGCCCACAAUUCAGAACAGCUUAUGUGUGUUAUCUUUUUAAAAGCUAUUCCUGUCAGGGGCUUAAAUUAACAGAGGUUUUACUCUUUCAGGCCCCUACUGGUUGCAGAUGAGACAGUGGAAAUUAAGUCAAUUAUAUGACACCAUCAUUAAUUAGUAUCAUAGUGUAAAAGGGAUGCUUACCCACCUAGUGAUUUGGAGUGCUGUCAUAUCUUAGAGCCCAUUUCAGGAUGAUGUCUUUUCCUGUCUGCUGUAAGGGAGUUUUGCGUUUACUCUUUGUUAUAGCUUUGCAAUUGACUUGUUAGAUGCAAGCACAUCUAUUGCUAUGAUUAUCAUUAAGAUGUUCUACGUUAUUCUCACCAUAUUCUCCCCCCCCUUUGUUAAUACUUAACAAAGUAUUACUUUGUUAAGGCACCUAAAAUCACUCUGGGCUUUUGUUUGAAUCACUAUUAAAAUAAUUUAAUUUGC
ensembl:lincRNA Gm15328 predicted gene 15328